GGCCGGUUGGCCCAAUGGCAAGGCGUCUGACUACGAUUCAUCGUGAAAUCAGGAGAUUCUGGGUUCGACCCCCAGGCUGGUCA
rnacentral:tRNA from 2 species